AGAUCAAAGAUAAAGGCCAUCUUUUAAUGGAGUGUAUGCAGGUAUAAGAGAACAAAGAUAAAGGCCAUCUUUAAAUGGAGUGUAUGCAGGUAUAAAAUAUCAAAGAUAAAGGCCAUCUUUUAAUGGAGUGUAUGCAGGUAUAAGAGAACAAAGAUAAAGGCCAUCUUUUAAUGGAGUGUAUGCAGGUAUUAAAGAUCAAAGAUUAAGGCCAUCUUUUAAUGGAGUCUAUGCAGGUAUAAGAGAACAAAGAUAAAGGCCAUCUUUUAAUGGAGUGUAUGCAGGUAUCAGAGAACAAAGAUAAAGGCCAUCUUUUAAUGGAGUGUAUGCAGGUAUAAGAGAACAAAGAUAAAGGCCAUCUUUUAAUGGAGUGUAUGCAGGUAUAAAAGAUCAAAGAUAAAGGCCAUCUUUUAAUGGAGUGUAUGCAGGUAUAAGAGAACAAAGAUAAAGGCCAUCUUUUAAUGGAGUGUAUGCAGGUAUAAAAGAUCAAAGAUAAAGGCCAUCUUUUAAUGGAGUGUAUGCAGGUAUAAGAGAACAAAGAUAAAGGCCAUCUUUAAAUGGAGUGUAUGCAGGUAUAAAAUAUCAAAGAUAAAGGCCAUCUUUUAAUGGAGUGUAUGCAGGUAUAAGAGAACAAAGAUAAAGGCCAUCUUUUAAUGGAGUGUAUGCAGGUAUAAGAGAACAAAGAUAAAGGCCAUCUUUUAAUGGAGUGUAUGCAGGUAUCAGAGAACAAAGAUAAAGGCCAUCUUUUAAUGGAGUGUAUGCAGGUAUAAGAGAA